rnacentral:rRNA from 1 species
UACGUAGGUGGCAAGCGUUGUCCGGAAUUAUUGGGCGUAAAGCGCGCGCAGGCGGUUAUGUAAGUCUGAUGUUAAAGCCCGGGGCUCAACCUCGGUUCGCAUUGGAAACUGUGUAACUUGAGUGCAGAAGAGGAAAGUGGUAUUCCACGUGUAGCGGUGAAAUGCGUAGAGAUGUGGAGGAACACCAGUGGCGAAGGCGACUUUCUGGUCUGUAACUGACGCUGAGGCGCGAAAGAGUGGGGAGCAAACGGG